AUUGAACGCUGGCGGCAUGCCUUACACAUGCAAGUCGAACGGCAGCACGGGAGCAAUCCUGGUGGCGAGUGGCGAACGGGUGAGUAAAGUAUCGGAACGUGCCCAGUCGUGGGGGAUAACGUAGCGAAAGUUACGCUAAUACCGCAUACGAUCUAUGGAUGAAAGCGGGGGAUCGCAAGACCUCGCGCGAUUGGAGCGGCCGAUAUCAGAUUAGGUAGUUGGUGGGGUAAAGGCUCACCAAGCCGACGAUCUGUAGCUGGUCUGAGAGGACGACCAGCCACACUGGGACUGAGACACGGCCCAGACUCCUACGGGAGGCAGCAGUGGGGAAUUUUGGACAAUGGGCGAAAGCCUGAUCCAGCCAUGCCGCGUGCAGGAUGAAGGCCUUCGGGUUGUAAACUGCUUUUGUACGGAGCGAAGAGGCUUUCUCUAAUACAGGGGGCUCAUGACGGUACCGUGAGAAUAAGCACCGGCUAACUACGUGCCAGCAGCCGCCGCAG
rnacentral:rRNA from 1 species